ensembl:lncRNA
AUGUUUAUAGGUUUAUUAAUUAAAAAGAUGUAUGUAUAUACAUGCAGAACGUCACCAAACAUUGCAGUUUUUCACCCAUUUUGCAAACUUAGGAGUCUGAAUAAUUUUCUUUACAAUGGGUCGGCUUUGAUUAAUUGUGUCAUUUACAACCAAGCAAACUCAGUAAAGGCAUGUCUCUCGGUACUAAACAGUAGGAUACAUUUGUCAUGUCACCAUUUUUCCAAUUCUCUUACAUACUCAACUUGGACCAUGGUGGCCACCGUAGUCAGGUAGUCACGUCUGCAUAUACCGUACUCAUAUUGGUAUAGACAGAAAAGAGAACCUUUAAAAAAUAACUUGGGGUUCUAGUUCUGGAACAUAGUCGCUCAAUCUAAUUUCUGAUCAUUAAACAGUCAACUCACUUAUGUAUAGACCCAGGAGUUAUUCCUAAUCCUGCUGUGACCUGAGAAGGGGGGGGUCCUGGGCCAUAUAGUUAUUAUUGGCUAUAACUCUUAGCCUUAGUUUUUCCUGGUCAGGUGACUGGUCUCAAAGGUUGGGAAAAGCAUUUUCCCCUAUUUAUAUCAAACCGAUUUUCUGUCUUACAUGAUUAAAAAUAGCCAAGUGAUUGAAGGUCUGACUGGGUGAAAGUUGAGGGAGAGGUGAUGCUUGGUGCACGACUUAAGGCAUUCAAAUGAAUGUUGGUUUUUGCUCCAACCCCAGUUGUAACUAAACUGAUUCAGUUUAUCAACCAGCUAAUUAUUAGAAUCAGGUGUGUUAGUUUAGGGUUAGAGCAAAAACCUACAGGACAGUAGCACUCCAGGAACAGGGUUGGAGACCACUGGUAUAGGGAUUGUUUGGGGUGGCCUGUAGCUAGCAUGGAAUCCGAACUGAAUUGUGUUGUUUCACUAUUGCUCACUAGUGUUCCAGAAUAAUGAAACUGAACACAGAAUUCAGUUUGGAGAGUUCUUAUGUGAACUGUCAAUCAUCAGGCCAGGUUAAAAUAUGCAUGCACAGAGCUAGAAAGGAAGAAAGAACAGAAAAUGAAAGUUACCUACUACAGCCACAGACACAAAGAAGGGUUAAUAACAAAAAGGUUUUUAACAGUUAAGGCUGCUUGAUAAAGAAUAGGUAGGUAAAGCAUUGCUGGCUGCACAAUGGUUUCAAAUACUGUGAAAUGUACAUAAAAUCUACAGGAAACAUUUUUGCAGAUAACCAAAUAGUAGCAACAUUAUCUGGUCUUCUAUAUACAACGAAUCGCCACCCCAACGUAGUUCCGACCCAGACAAAAAACCAUGUCAAAUUAUUUUUCAACAUGCUUGGUUUCCUACACAACAUAGCCAGGCAAGAAAAAGGAUUGAGACACAAAAUACAUUUUGCUACAAUAAAAAAAAAAAGGCCAUGAUUAUUACACACUAUGACCCAAAAUCAAACAAUUGAAAAAUAAACACCACCUAGUCGUCUCCAAAUCAUUAGGAUGCAUCAGAACAAUACCUCUUCAUCAACCUCAGAUACAAGAAUCCAAAAUAUGACCACCCCCAAACCUAGACUAAGUCACACAUUUCUUUUCCAAAAAGCAUGUUUUAACUUACAUUCCUUGUUUUGAUAAAUGCUUUUCUGAAUAAUGAUGAUUAUGUCUCAGGUUCUCUACACAUAUGUCAGUCAUCCACCCCUCACCUUGCAAAUGGCACAUAGAUACAAAUAUGAACAAAAACAGACUCAACAUUAUACGGGAUAACAGCGUUUCUCUCGCUGCAUACCCUAAUGCACAUCUCACUUAAGUACUUACACUGAAGGCAUUUUCACAUAAUGAUUCCAUUUUGUUUAUAGCUAAAACGUAAAUACACAACCAAUCCCCCAAAACAAUUGACACAUUUUUUUAUUUUUCAUUUCUUCCGAAGCUUUUUUAAAAUAUAAAACCAGGAAUGCAAUGCCUCUGGUGGUAUUCUUUGAGCGUGAACGAGAAGAAAGCCCUUUUUAAUUUUUUUUGUUUUUUCAAAAAAGUAUUGUGUUGUAACUGCGUCGUUAUAGGCUCAAAUAUGCACCUUGGUUUUUCCUCGUUGUACGUCAGUCCAAACGAUUUGAUCUGUUUGAAAACCACCAGACCUCAUGUGACCCCAAACUCAGAGGUCAAGGGCAGAGGUCAAUCUUCCCAGCCAGGCUACUGUACGAGUCUUGUGUAUCGAUGUUGAUUUUGUUUAGGAUAGAUCUCACUUUUCCUGCCCCAUCAAUUGUUUACAGCAUAUUUUUCAAGCAGCAACAGGUUCUGCUGGUAGGAUUAGAAGCAGCAAUACAUUUUGUCUGGGUGUGUGCUCUGCCCAGGCCUCGUUUUUUCUUAGCAGUCCACAACCCACAUCGAAACUGUAAUCGUAAGCUGCUGCCAAAAAACUAGACCCACACUUGAUUGAAAAUAAAUACUAAAAGAUGAUUGAGUACAAAGCUUGGACGCAACACGUUCAUUUCCUAAACCAAAAAAAGCUUUUGGUUUGAUCUACCUUAGUUGGGAUUUUAAUGUACAGUCACGUGAUAUAAUACUAACCCAAUACAGUGUCAAAAAAAUUAUAGUAACAGAAAAUGAUUUAAAUUUUACAAUGUGGAUCUCAAUGAAUUGCAAUAAUUUGACAUAAAACAUUUUGCUCGUAGUACAUAUGAGCAAGAUAUGGGGUACUUUAAUACAUCUUUAAACAUAUCAAUAAGACCCUUAUUGGACAUACACAGUUCAAGCUAAUAUUUUCCAUCAAGAUUGAUAGGACGAAAGCCAAAACGCCUGAAUUCAACGCUCCACAUACUUACUAGUUUAGAUUUAUUUUGAGCUUGUCAUCUCAUCCUUAAUAUUCAUUUGACACCAUUAUAAAAUGUACAUGAUAAACUGUUCAGAGAUAAAAUACUUCUUCACUGUGAAACAAAAAUGCCCCAGUUCAACGUAACCAUGGAGAUAAAGAUAUUGUCAUUGUUAAAAGAGGAUGAUGCCAAUGUCAUUUAGAAAGUGCAUAAGAACAGCAUCAUUGCUGGGACAGUGUGGGACAAAAAAAAAGAAGGAAGCCAAGUAACAAACUUUCAGAUCUCGUGAAGAGGCGUAUUAAAAAAGCAG